rnacentral:rRNA from 1 species
UAUUUAUUAAAUUAUUUUAUUUAUAGUUUAACUCUAAUUAAUCAAAGUAUUGAUUUUUUUAUUAUUUUUAAAGAAAAAAUUGUUUUAAUUAUAAUUUAUAGUACUGUGAGGGAAUUUUAUUAAAAUGUUUAAGAGAAGAAUUUAAUUUUUGUACCUUUUGUAUCAGGGUUUAUUAAAAAGUGAAUUUAUAUUAAAUUUUUCCCGAAACUUAAAGGGCUAAGAGAUUAUUUAUUUUAUUGUUAAAUAAAUAUUUUCAAUAAUCUUUUAGAGUUGAAAUGUCAUUCGGUUUUAGUGAUAUCUGGUUUCUUGAUAAAUCAGUUUAAUUGAAUUUUAAGCUUAUAUUUUUUUAUAAUUUAUUUAAUUAAUAUAACUUAAUUUAUAAGGUAAGGGGGAUUAGCUCUUUAUCUUAUUUCUUUAAUUAUUAAGUCUUUUUGUUUUGGUAGGAUUAGAAGUUUUCAUCAUUAUAGUGUGUUAUUACUAAGGCUAAUUAAAUUUUGAUUUAUAUUUUAUUGAGAUUUUAUAUUAAGAUGAUUUAUUUAAUUUGGAUUUAUAGGCAAUAAUGAUAGAAUUAGUAUACUUUUAUUUAUUACUUAAUUUUAUAUUUUAGGUUAAGUAAAGGAAUUCGGCAAUAAUAAUUCUCGCCUGUUUAUUAAAAACAUGUCCUUUUGUUGAUUAUUUAAGGUCUGGCCUGCCCACUGACUAUUUUAAAGGGCUGCAGUAUUUUGACUGUACAAAGGUAGCAUAAUCAUUAGUUUCUUAAUUAGGAACUGGAAUGAAUGGUUAAACGAGGAAUUAGCUGUCUCUAUUUAAUUUUCUAUAGAAUUUUAUAUUUAGGUCAAAAAGCCUAAAUAAUAAUUGAAGACGAGAAGACCCUAUAGAGUUUUAUUUUUAUUUUUCUAUUUAGAAUUUAGAAUUUCUUUUAAAUUAGUUUAGUAAGAGUUUCGUUGGGGUGAUAGGAAUAUUUAAUUAACUUUUCUUUUUUUGUUACAUUUUUAAAUGAUUGUAUGAUCCAUUAAUUUUGAUUAUAAGAUUAAAUUACCUUAGGGAUAACAGCGUAAUUCUUUUGGAUAGUUCUUAUUGAUAAAAGAGUUUGCGACCUCGAUGUUGGAUUAAAAAAGGAUUUGGCGCAGGAGUCAUAAUUACUUGGUCUGUUCGACCAUUAAAAUUUUACAUGAUCUGAGUUUAGACCGGCGUGAGCCAGGUUGGUUUCUAUCUCUAUUUAAUUUAAAUGGCUUAGUACGAAAGGACCAGCUUUUUAUAAUAUUUAUUAUAUUUUGAAUUAAAUU